rnacentral:lncRNA from 1 species
UAGAAACCUUUACCAAUGGGUUCUUUCUUACCAAUGGUUACCCUUAUAGUGUCCACCUUGCAUUUUUAUAUAUCGACAAUCUAUCUAUAUAUAUAUAAAUAAAGUAUAUAUAAAGUACUGUUUCUUCACUUUAGGAUGCGCCACCUCAGCAUCCACGUCACUAAGUCGUUUAACCUGAACGUGACACCUGUCCACUUUUGCCUAUACGUUGCGUUUCAUUUAAAAAUUGAAUAGGUAUGGGUUACAUCUUUUACGUGGGCUUUAGGCUAAAACCCAUCCCAAUAGUGAGCGUGUCACAUCUCUACACAGCAUUUCUGAUUCUAGGGAUUGAGUUGAAGAAGUCGGCGCGAUGAAUAUGUUGGUAGAGAUUUUUCUCACGUCGUUCAAUCUUCUUUCUCAUUGACAGAUACAUCGCCUUAAAACCCUUCAUAACUCCAUCCACCAUAAUUUAUCAUUUAAUACGAAGUUGUAUACCUGCGACUAUAAAAAAGUUAGACAUCCUCCUCUCAAAAUCAGCUUUCUUAACUUGCAAAGUAAAUUUAAUCUCUGAGAAAUGGCUAAAGUCAAAAGUGCUUCUUACCUUAUUCGUCUCGGCCACCUCGACUCCUCGCCAUGGCACCCCGCGACUUCUCGUGCGACUUCUCAGCCUAUAUCUGAUAAUCAACUUACGUUACACCUAUUUUCAGUUUGGUCCUUUCUCUUUUGUUUCUUCUUGAAUUCAGUCUCAC